rnacentral:rRNA from 1 species
AGGACGAACGCUGGCGGCGUGCUUAACACAUGCAAGUGGAGCGACGAACCAGGGCUUGCCCUGGGGCAGAGCCGCGAACGGGUGAGUAACACGUGGGUUACCUGCCUUGAUGACCGGGACAACCCGAGGAAACUCGGGCUAAUACCGGAUGUGCCCGCAAGGGGAAAGGAAGCUUCGGCCUCCGCAUCAAGAUGGGCCCGCGGCCCAUUAGCUUGUUGGUGAGGUAACGGCUCACCAAGGCUUCGAUGGGUAGCUGGUCUGAGAGGACGAUCAGCCACACUGGGACUGAGACACGGCCCAGACUCCUACGGGAGGCAGCAGUGGGGAAUCUUGCGCAAUGCGCGAAAGCGUGACGCAGCAACGCCGCGUGGGGGAAGAAGGCUUUCGGGUUGUAAACCCCUUUCAGUUGGGACGAGGCUUCUUCGGUGAAUAGCCGAACGGAGUGACGGUACCUUCACAAGAAGCACCGGCUAACUACGUGCCAGCAGCCGC